GAUGAACGCUGGCGGCGUGCCUAAUACAUGCAAGUCGAGCGAACAGAUGAGGAGCUUGCUCCUCUGACGUUAGCGGCGGACGGGUGAGUAACACGUGGAUAACCUACCUAUAAGACUGGGAUAACUUCGGGAAACCGGAGCUAAUACCGGAUAAUAUAUUGAACCGCAUGGUUCAAUAGUGAAAGACGGUUUUGCUGUCACUUAUAGAUGGAUCCGCGCCGCAUUAGCUAGUUGGUAAGGUAACGGCUUACCAAGGCGACGAUGCGUAGCCGACCUGAGAGGGUGAUCGGCCACACUGGAACUGAGACACGGUCCAGACUCCUACGGGAGGCAGCAGUAGGGAAUCUUCCGCAGUGGGCGAAAGCUUGACGGAGCAACGCCGCGUGAGUGAUGAAGGUCUUCGGAUCGUAAAACUCUGUUAUUAGGGAAGAACAAAUGUGUAAGUAACUAUGCACGUCUUGACGGUACCUAAUCAGAAAGCCACGGCUAACUACGUG
rnacentral:rRNA from 1 species